rnacentral:rRNA from 1 species
GAUGAACGCUGGCGGCGUGCCUAACACAUGCAAGUCGAACGGAGUUUAUAUUAUGAAGUCUUCGGAUGAAUUGAUAUAAACUUAGUGGCGGACGGGUGAGUAACGCGUGGGUAACCUGCC